rnacentral:rRNA from 1 species
AGGACGAACGCUGGCGGCGUGCUUAACACAUGCAAGUCGAGCGAACCUUCGGGUUAGCGGCGAACGGGUGAGUAACACGUGGGCAACCUGCCCCCGAGCUCUGGGAUAACUCCGGGAAACCGGGGCUAAUACCGGAUAUGACCCGAGAAGACAUCUUCUCGGGUGGAAACGUUUUUCGGCUCGGGAUGGGCCCGCGGCCUAUCAGCUUGUUGGUGGGGUAACGGCCUACCAAGGCGACGACGGGUAGCC